rnacentral:misc_RNA from 1 species
AAGUCGUAACAAGGUUUCCGUAGGUGAACCUGCGGAAGGAUCAUUAACACGUAUCCAACGUAAAAACAACCCUGUGAACCUUCAAACGUGAUCUCGCACACGCUCUAGCAGCAAUCCCUGGUAAAUCAUUGAUGACCAGUAUUGAGUCAGGGACCUCUGCUUGAAAACCAUGCGAUAUGGAUCAUUGGAUAAAGCGGCCUGGCAUCCUAGCAAUCUGUCAGUGGUUGCGCAAGGAUGGCGCAGUUAACGAUCGCUGGAGGCCCACACGGCCGGCGACCGGGCCUCUGUGCCUUGAGCACCUAACGACCCCAUGUUUCUUACCCGGUGCGCUGUAACAACCGCACCACAAACUCGAACAACUGUUAACAAUGGAUAUCUUGGUUCUC